CCUACGGGUGACAGCAGUAGGGAAUAUUGCUCAAUGGGGGAAACCCUGAAGCAGCAACGCCGCGUGGAGGAUGAAGGUUUUCGGAUCGUAAACUUCUUUUGUUAGAGAAGAUAAUGACGGUAUCUAACGAAUAAGCACCGGCUAACUCCGGGCCAGCAGCCGCCGUAAUACGGAGGGCGCAAGCGUUACUCGGAACCACUGGGCGUAAAGAGCGCGUAGGCGGGUUAGCAAGUCAGAUGUGAAAUCCUAUGGCUUAACCAUAGAGCGUCAUUUGAAACUGGUAUUCUAGAGUGUGGAAGAGGAGAGUGGAAUUCUAGGUGUAGGGGUAAAAUCCGUAGAGAUCUAGAGGAAUACUCGUUGCGAAGGCGACCUGCUAGAACAUAACUGACGCUGAUGCGCGAAAGCGUGGGGAGCAAACAGGAUUAGAUACCCCAGUAGUC
rnacentral:rRNA from 1 species